GAUGAAGAACGUAGCGAAAUUCGAUACUUGGUGUGAAUUGCAGAAUCCCGUGAACCAUCGAGUCUUUGAACGCAAGUUGCGCCCGAAGCCAUCAGGUUGAGGGCACGUCUGCCUGGGCGUCACAUAUCGUUGCCCAAUGCCUAUUGCAGUGCAAUAGGAAUUUCUAGGGCGAAUGAUGGCUUCCCGUGAGCGUUGUUGCCUCGCGGUUGGUUGAAAAUCGAGUCCUUGGUAGGGUGUGCCAUGGUAGAUGGUGGUCGAGUUAGAACGAUACCGAUCAUGUGCAUGCUCCCCAAAAUAUGGCCUCUAUGACCCACAUGCGUCUUUUGACGCUCAUGACGAGACCUCAGGUCAGGCGGGGCUACCCGCUGAAUUUAAGCAUAUCAAUAAGCGGAGGA
rnacentral:misc_RNA from 1 species